rnacentral:rRNA from 1 species
CCUACGGGAGGCAGCAGUAGGGAAUAUUGCUCAAUGGGGGAAACCCUGAAGCAGCAACGCCGCGUGGAGGAUGAAGGUUUUCGGAUUGUAAACUCCUUUUGUUAGAGAAGAUAAUGACGGUAUCUAACGAAUAAGCACCGGCUAACUCCGUGCCAGCAGCCGCGGUAAUACGGAGGGUGCAAGCGUUACUCGGAAUCACUGGGCGUAAAGAGCGCGUAGGCGGGAUAGCAAGUCAGAGGUGAAAUCCUAUGGCUUAACCAUAGAACUGCAUUUGAAACUGUUAUUCUAGAGUAUGGGAGAGGUAGGUGGAAUUCUUGGUGUAGGGGUAAAAUGCGUAGAGAUCAAGAGGAAUACUCAGUGCGAAGGCGACCUGCUAGAACAUAACUGACGCUGAUGCGCGAAAGCGUGGGGAGCAAACAGGAUUAGAUACCCCGGUAGUC